GACCCCGUAGCUCAGCUGGUAGAGCACCUGACUUUUAAUCAGGGGGUCGCAGGUUCGAAUCCUGCCGGGGUCAC
rnacentral:tRNA from 1 species